rnacentral:lncRNA from 1 species
GGUCCACCCCGAUGAAGCCAAGUGGAGCCAUCCAGUCAUCCAGCCUGAAUCAGGCCUACAUAGUCGGCACUGGUGCUCGUGGUGGCCCAUUCAUGGUAUUUCCACAACCUGGUCCACCAGAUCUGGAAAUCGAUUGAUGCUGUCUAGCACCUACAAUAGGCUACGAAGCAAUGACGACCUCCAUAGCCUGUUCCUUAACAUGUGCUCUAUCUGCAUGGUUAUCAGAACUCUUUCUUGGUUUCAAACUAUGCUCCUCAGAGAAAACAUCCAAACCAACCCUGAAGCCAAAUCCCCCACCUUCGAUUGACAAAAACCCCACACCUCAAGAACCGCCUCGCCAUCUGUCCAAUGAAAUAACAAC